CAGCUUCCUCAUUAAGAAUUAUAAAAAGACUCAAAAAAUAUUGAAUUCAAUCAAGAAAAAGAUAAUAGCAGACAUUAUUAAAUGCUGUAAAAAUAAAUAUCACAAGUGAAUAAACAAAGAUAUAAUGAUUUUUAAAGAAAUGUUAACAAAGUUAUUAAAACUAAUAAAAGAAAUUAAGGAAAUAAAGGUAAAAAAUCACACAAAUAACCUAUUUCAGGAAUUAAAACACAUUCUUUAGUAAAAAUUAUAGCCUUUACCAACCUACUAAAGGAAAUGUGUCAAAUUCUUAGGAGUAAAAUCCGACUAUACACAUCAAAAUCCACUAUAUUUUGAAAAUGAAAUUCCCAAAACACGAACAUAACAUGAAAUAGGAAAACUCCUACAUAAACCAAGUAAGUUGAAUCACAUUUUAAAACUGAAACCAACCAACAAAAAAACUUAAACAAUCAAAAUUUCUGGUCCAUGUUUACAGGCAUAUUCCAAACUUCUAGAGAAGAAAAACAAACAUACUUGCCAGACCUGUGCAAAGUGGAAAUAAGCACAGAAUAUUUUUAAAUUUAUUUUUGGAAAGUGAGGAUUACAUUAAUGAUGAUGCAUGUGUACCAGUACGUGAAGUAAUUUUUUAAAAGCAUACCUUUCAUAAAGAGAUAGAAAUAUUCUAAGCAAAGUAUUAUUAUAAUAAAUGAAAUCACAUAGGAAAACCAAGUAAGAUGAUUACAAGCAAGAGACAGUAAAAAUAUGAGAGUUGUCGAGAUUCCCAGAAUUGUUGAGAUUCCCAAAGAAGUCACCCAAGUAGGUGAAAAAUACAAAAAGAAAAUCACAUGAUUGUUUAGGUUACAUGUGAAAAUAUUUAAUAAAGUUCAACAUCCAGUGAAAAAACUUGCUAUCCAUCAAACAAAUAAGCAGAAACUAAAUUCUUCAAUCAUAUCAAGAUUUACUCCUAAGAUUUGACAAGAUUAAAAUAACUAGCACAACUAAUACAGGAUCAUUGAGAACUUUUUCCCUGGAAGUAAGCCUCGACCAGGAGGGCACUACUAUUUCUUUCAACUUCCUAUUGGAAACGUAGUCAAGGAAAUAAAGUGGCAAAAAGGAAACACAAUGUGUAAAGAUCAAUUUCUAAGGAAAAAAUUAUAUAUAUAAAUACAUAUGUGUACAUAUACACACAUAAUUAUAUAGGAUGGCCCUUAAAUAUAUAGAUAAUUCAUAAAAUCUAAAAAUAAUACAACUGAUACACAAAUUCAACAAUAUUACUGGAAAUAUUAAUGUAUAAAAUCCACUAAUUAUUAAGCACUAGCAAGAAACAAACAUAAAAUAAUAUUAAUGGGCAAGAGGCAGAAUAGAAAACAAAUAAGUACAGUAGAGAGGUAAAAAAAAGGAUUGAAUUAUGUAAUAUGUAGAAACAUUCAAAUAUCAGCAUUAAAAACCCCACAUUGAAAUGAGUCUGAAAUAUGAAGAAAAUGUAAAACACCAAAGCCAAUAAAUAGCCAAUACACUUUAAUUCACCCUAAGCAAGUUACUGCAGCCUCCAGGUAGGAUUCUCCCAGGAAGACCCAUGAGGAGGCAGGAGGGUCCCAGCAGGUGGCAGGAUCCCUGCUGGUGAAAGGGUGCAGCCUAGAGGAGGCCCUUGGCCCCUGAACCCAGGCCAUGCCUCUUUACCAUCUGAAGCAGCCUGGAGUUUCAUGUCCCUGCUGUAAAGAUGCUGAUUUGUUGCAUCUGCUGGGUCCUGCGUGCUGACGGCUAUGUGAGCUGUCCAAUCAGGCGUGGUGAUGUCACUGCCACAUAAUCACACUGGAUUGUUACACCGUAGAGUUCCAAAUUCUUGGAGGAGAGAGGUCCAAGGAGGGGCCUCUGCUGUUGGGAGACUCAGGAGCUAGUGUGGUAUCCGCUGGUAGCUGACCUUGUCCACCGCAACACAGCCUAUCUCGGAUGCCUGGGAAUGGAGCGAUGUAUUUGUAAAGCAAAAGCUGCAUUCUCACUUGCAAACAUAAAAUGAAGCAUGAAAGGAAUCUUUUCUGUAAUGGAAACAAGUCUGGGAGACAUCUGCUGGAAAGGAAUGAAAAGCACAAAGGUGCGGGUUGCUCUCUUCACUUCUCAAGCUAGGGAUCACCCCCUUCUGGGGGCCCCUCACCACCCAGGGUGUAAUGUGCCUCAUGACCAUCAACAUAUCACUGAAUGGUUUUCUUAUGGAAAAGCUGCAGGAGCCCAAGGAGAAGCAGACAGGCUUUCUUUUAAGGAUUUCAAAAGAACUCAGCAAAAGAGUGAUUCCAUAACCAUGUUCCUGUAUUGAUUGGGACUCAGAGUAAGGAAGAAGAGAAGUGGAGGGGUUCAAGAAGCUAAUGUUAAAUGCUGUGUAGGUAAAAGAUGCUGGGAAGUUCUCUAACCAAGCAGAUUAUUCCAUAUGUAAGGUUAUAGGGAUUGUAAGUAACUGUGGAAUACUUUGCACAAUAUAUCAAGUUCUGUACUAUCAUGAUCAGUGUAAGAUGUAAAAGCAUUUAUUUUCUGUGUGUCUGUAUGUAAAUAAUUUCUGAUAGAUUAAUUAACAUUCAUAUAUUUUAUAGAAUUACUUCAUCAAUUUAUUUUAAAGAAGCAUCAUUUUUGGGGCCAGCGCUGUGGCUCAGUGGGUUGACACCCUGGCCUGGAGCACCGGCAUCCCAUGUGUGCACUGGUUCUAGUCCCAGCUGCUCUUCUUCCGGUCUGACUCUCUGCUGUGGCCUGGGAUGGCAGUGGAGGAUGGCUCAAGUCCUUGGGCCCCUGUACCCAUGUGGGAGACCUGGAGGAGGCUCCUGGCUCUUGGCUUUGGAUUGGCAUAGCACCGGCCAUUGCAGUCAUGUAGGGAGUGAGCCAGUGGAUGGAAGACCUCUUUCUCUCUGUCUCUACGUCUGUCUGUGGCUCUGUCUUUCAAAUAAACAGAAUAAAUCUUAAAAAAAAGAAACAUCAUUUUCACUUGUAUGGAAAGGGGAAUAACUGUUGUACAGUGAAAAGGAAAUUCAUUCAUCAAUGAAACAUAAAAAUAUUCAGAAAUCAUUUACUGGAAUAUUGUAUGUUGUUAUGUGUUUGAUUAUAGAUGACACAAAUACACCGUCUAUAUUCUGUUUUGCUUAAAAUUUCUGCAUGUGUGACUUUAUUUUUUCCUUAUAACCCCAAUUAUUUUGGUAUCAUAAGAUGGAAAAUGAGUUCUAUAUUGGCCAAGACAUGCUUAGUUUUCCAGUUCUAAAUAUUCAAUGUUAUAAAUAACUUUAGAAAUAAAUAUAUUUAUUUACUAUACUAAUGCCUUUCCAAAAAUUUUGUAAACCUCUAUCUUCUUUUGUAUAUACUGAUAAUACCUCUGCUACGCUACUGGAAUUUACAGCUGUGUGUAAUGCUGAAGAAUUGAAACUGUCUUGUUCAUGGCUUACAGGACUAAGCAUGGCAACUUUACUGGAAGCAAGAAGAUUUAGAGAUUUGCUCUCAGGAAAGAAAGACAAAGAAAGUCUUCACAGAGGACUGCACUAUCAAAGAUGAGACACUAUUUUCAACAAUUUCUCUCCAGAGAAUUGGUUUCAAUAGAUGAUGUGACCUAUACUGACUGACAUUUGGACAUCUGUCAACAAAGGAUCUCAGGUUCUACAUAGUCCCCUACAGUGGGCUAGCCAUAUGACAAUCCUGCAUAGAAUUUAUAAACAGUUUUUUUGUGUGUGUGUUCACUUUUAACUGUUUACAGAAUCUCUUUCUGCUUGGAAAAUAACCUAUUAAAGUGAAAUUUGGGGCAUUAAUCUUAUUUACUUUAUCUAGUCAACCCUGCACUUCAUUGAAAAGUGCUCUUGAGAUCCAGAGGUGUUCUUUUUUAAUAAUCCCCUUCCUAGUAUUUUCACCAUUUGAAAUGUAUAAAUAUCCAACUAUAAUGAGAUCAUUUUCAGGUAGAAUCACAUAGUUGUGUUCCUUAUAGAUGUUUUAUUUUCUCUUUCUGAUUAAUAGUACUUAAUUCUGGAAAUUAAGCUUUCUCUGAAAUGCUUUCAAAAUUGGCACCAAAUAUUUCUUGCUCAAGAUCAUAGUUCAUAAUAGUAUGU